CAGUCGCCACGGUAAUACGAAGGGGGCUAGCGUUGUUCGGAAUUACUGGGCGUAAAGCGCACGUAGGCGGAUACUUAAGUCAGGGGUGAAAUCCCGGGGCUCAACCCCGGAACUGCCUUUGAUACUGGGUAUCUCGAGUCCGGAAGAGGUGAGUGGAAUUCCGAGUGUAGAGGUGAAAUUCGUAGAUAUUCGGAGGAACACCAGUGGCGAAGGCGGCUCACUGGUCCGGUACUGACGCUGAGGUGCGAAAGCGUGGGGAGCAAACAGGAUUAGAUACCCCCGUAGUCCCUGUCUCUUAUAA
rnacentral:rRNA from 1 species